ACCACACUCUAGUCGUCCAGUAUCCACUGCAGUUCCCAGGUUGAGCCCAGGGCUUUCACAACGGACUUAAACGACCACCUACGCACGCUUUACGCCCAGUAAUUCCGAGUAACGCUUGCACCCUUCGUAUUACCGCGGCUGCUGGCACGAAGUUAGCCGGUGCUUAUUCUUUGGGUACCGUCAUCCCAACCGGGUAUUAACCAGCUGGAUUUCUUUCCCAACAAAAGGGCUUUACAACCCGAAGGCCUUCUUCACCCACGCGGUAUGGCUGGAUCAGGCUUGCGCCCAUUGUCCAAUAUUCCCCACUGCUGCCUCCCGUAGGAGUCUGGACCGUGUCUCAGUUCCAGUGUGGCUGAUCAUCCUCUCAGACCAGCUACGGAUCGUCGCCUUGGUGGGCCUUUACCCCGCCAACUAGCUAAUCCGACAUCGGCUCAUUCAAUCGCGCAAGGUCCGAAGAUCCCCUGCUUUCACCCGUAGGUCGUAUGCGGUAUUAGCGUAAGUUUCCCUACGUUAUCCCCCACGAAAAAGUAGAUUCCGAUGUAUUCCUCACCCGUCCGCCACUCGCCACCCAGAGAGCAAGCUCUCCUGUGCUGCCGUUCGACUUGCAUGUGUUAGGCCUACCGCCAGCGUUCACUCUGAGCCAGGAUCAAACCCUG
rnacentral:rRNA from 1 species